rfam:Salmo salar isolate Sally breed double haploid chromosome ssa02, whole genome shotgun sequence.
UCCCGUGUGGCUCAGUUGGUAGAGCAUGGUGUUUGCAACGCCAGGGUUGUGGGUUCGAUUCCCACUGGGGAC